UACGUAGGAUGCAAGCGUUGUCCGGAAUUAUUGGGCGUAAAGAGCUCGUAGGCGGUCUGUCGCGUCUGGUGUGAAAAUCCAGGGCUUAACCCUGGACCUGCAUCGGGUACGGGCAGACUAGAGUGCGGUAGGGGAGAUCGGAAUUCCUGGUGUAGCGGUGAAAUGCGCAGAUAUCAGGAGGAACACCGGUGGCGAAGGCGGAUCUCUGGGCCGUAACUGACGCUGAGGAGCGAAAGCAUGGGGAGCGAACAGG
rnacentral:rRNA from 1 species